UUAUCUCGAUAAAUUAUAUAUGAUUCUUUAAUCUAGAUAAAUUAAAAUUAAAUCAUCUUUAAUCUAAGCUACAUUUACAUGUCAUUUAUCUUAUAUUUAUUUAGAUAAUUUUAAAUUAUCUGAACGCAACACUAUUUGUUUAUUUAUAAGUUCUCAACGUUGACCUACAGUGCCCAUCAGUGCCCAUGAUGGCCGUGAUGUGCAACAGUGUGUUGGGUUGCACGUUCUCCCCCAUCGAUCAAAUGUAGCGAUGCUAAUUGCAUCUAACGUCUUUAUCAAUAUAAUGAGCACAUGGAAAUUGAUACAACGACGGUGUUACGACUUGCUUUCAUAUAAAUACUCAUUGCUCGUAAUAUUGGUGGCGUUUACUUGCAUAUUCAUCGGCAUUGUGCACUUUGGAGAGGUAUGGUUGAUAUGGAGCAAAGAAAAGUACGAGGCGGUUUUUCACUCCUUCAACGACAAUAUUCUGGGAAAAUCCUUUCAAAAGAAAUUGUGCCAACACGUACCCAUAGACGUAGUUUAUACAUGGGUAAACGGAUCCGAUCCAGUGUUCUUAGAAAGCCUCCAGAGGCACGUCCCUGUUGUGGAUCUCGGUGCCGCCGCCUCGAGAUUCAGUGACAAAGACGAGUUGCGCUACUCGUUGCGAUCGUUGGAGAUGUAUGCGCCUUGGGUGAGGCACGUUUACAUCGUUACCAACGGCCAAAUACCGAGUUGGCUUGAUAUGGAUAAUCCUCGGAUGACUCUUGUCACUCACGAAGAUAUCUUUCUGAAUAAAAGUGAUUUGCCAACUUUUUCUAGUCCUGCUAUUGAAAGUCAUAUUCAUAGGAUACCUGGUGUUUCUGACAAAUUUUUAUAUUUUAAUGACGACGUAAUGUUAGGUACCGAAGUGUGGCCAGAGGAUUUCAUAACUCAAGCAAAUGGACAAAAGGUGUACCUGGCGUGGUGGGUUCCUGACUGUUCCGAGAUCUGUCCAUGGGCGUGGGUCGGCGACGGAUCGUGCGAUCACGCUUGUAACACAACAUUGUGCGAAUUUGAUGGCGGAGACUGUCAAACGACUGAUGUCCCUAUAGAUAGCGAGGUAAUGGAAGGAGAAGACGAUUAUCCAUAUAAGUACCUGCACGAUUAUCAUGAAAACAAUUACGACGACCUCAAACUAUUAAGCAUCUUGCGCAAGAAAAACAUCGUUCGUCCAUCACGAAAGGACGCGCUAAUAUCCACAGUUCAAACAUUAUAUACGUAUAAUCUCAGUACUAUUUCUAAGCCAAUCCGUACAAUUAGCAAUCUUGGAAAUAGCAGUUUUAGGAAAUUACAAGCACAAAGUAUAAAAUUUGACGGUGAAGAUUAUAAAUUUGCAAAGGAUUUUGUAAAACCUGCAUACUCCAAAUUGUCACACAUAAACACCUCGAACAAAACUGCAUAUCGUAUCAAACUUUUGAAACGUUACCGCAAUAUCAUGAAUGCGGCACAAUCGAACAAUUCUGUUAAGUUCGAUAAGAUCGCAUAUCCCAAUCAAUGGAAACGUAAUGCACGAGGAUUGGACACUUACGCGGAGUCUUUGCUAUACGUUAACAAAAUAUAUAACACUGCUUACGGCCUCGAACGGAGGAGAGUGCCAGCGCACAUGCCGCAUUUGAUAGACAAGUGGAUCGUGAAUAGCAUGCAAGAAAAGUUCGAGUUUGAAUUUAAGAAAACCUCUAGUCACAAAAUGAGAGAUCCCGAGGACAUGCAAUUCGCAUUUUCUUACUUCUACUUUUUAUCCAGUGAAAAACGAAGUGUACUCAUCGAGGAGAUGUUUGAUAUGUUUGAUACUGAUAAAUCACGGACUUGGUCGGACAGGGAAAUAAGGACGCUCUUGUCCCGAUUAUAUCCGUUGCCGCUUGAUUACAAUCUAGUCAUGGAAUUCGAAAAUGAGAUAAUAAAUUGUUCGCAUCGUCUAAAUCUACCGGAGAUCGUUGACGUUCCACCAGGAGAAAGAUAUCUGGACUCUACUCUCCCGGUAGUUUCUAAAGAAUUGAUACUGAACUGCGAAUCAGUUUUUAGAAGACUGCAAUCAAAAUUCGGCACAAGUAGCCGAUAUCCGCAUGAGAUUAUAAAAGCCGGCAAAAAUGAAAUUUUCGAGAUGUUGACCAGCAAUGUUUCUCUAACGGUACAAUUGCUGGAUGAAAUUAGGAGGGAUCCCAAGAAGUUCAUUUGUUUGAACGAUGACAUGGAUCCAAUUCGACAUUCGGAAAACGAGAUUGUUCGCGCUUUGUUAAACGAUUUUUAUCGUUCGUUGUAUCCGCUGCGAAGCACCUUCGAAUUGCCGUCGCAAUAUCGAAAUCGUUUCUCCCACUUACACGAACUUCUCGAAUGGAGAGCGAAUCGUGCAAAAGCUAGAAAUUUAUUACUGUGCCUUCUAGCGUUGCUCCUUACGUUUACGUUCUAUCACGUACUCUACCAUCACAUGCGUAGGAUGUGCAGAACUCGAGAAUUAUCUACGUUUCUUGUGUGAAUCAUCCAUAAUCGAAAUCAGCAUAGAGUUAUAUGAUGGAACUAAUAAUGUUUCAGAAAAUUCGUUACAAAAGAUCUGUUCCUUAAGAAUUAUUUUGAUUCGACACUUUCUAAAAUUAGAUAAUGAUAUUCCUGUGAUACAAUAAACGCUUUUUUGUAAUUACAUUUUAAUAAAAGAAUCGAUUAUAUGUAUAAUAGAAUAUUGAAUCAAA